rnacentral:rRNA from 1 species
UACGUAGGUGGCGAGCGUUGCCCGGAUUUACUGGGCGUAAAGGGAGCGUAGGCGGACUUUUAAGUGAGAUGUGAAAUACUCGGGCUCAACUUGAGUGCUGCAUUUCAAACUGGAGGUCUAGAGUGCAGGAGAGGAGAAUGGAAUUCCUAGUGUAGCGGUGAAAUGCGUAGAGAUUAGGAAGAACACCAGUGGCGAAGGCGAUUCUCUGGACUGUAACUGACGCUGAGGCUCGAAAGCGUGGGGAGCAAACAGG